GUCGAGGUGCCGGAGUGGUUAACGGGUAUGACUCGAAUUCGGUGAUGCUUAAACACAUCACAAACAUCCGUCAUCAUAUGACAUUUGUCGCACAGGUUCGAAUCCUGUCCUCGACG